UGUCGUGAGAUGUUGGGUUAAGUCCCGCAACGAGCGCAACCCUUAAGCUUAGUUGCCAUCAUUAAGUUGGGCACUCUAAGUUGACUGCCGGUGACAAACCGGAGGAAGGUGGGGAUGACGUCAAAUCAUCAUGCCCCUUAUGAUUUGGGCUACACACGUGCUACAAUGGACAAUACAAAGGGCAGCUAAACCGCGAGGUCAAGCAAAUCCCAUAAAGUUGUUCUCAGUUCGGAUUGUAGUCUGCAACUCGACUACAUGAAGCUGGAAUCGCUAGUAAUCGUAGAUCAGCAUGCUACGGUGAAUACGUUCCCGGGUCUUGUACACACCGCCCGUCACACCACGAGAGUUUGUAACACCCGAAGCCGGUGGAGUAACCAUUUAUGGAGCUAGCCGUCGAAGGUGGGACAAAUGAUUGGGGUGAAGUCGUAACAAGGUAGCCGUAUCGGAAGGUGCGGCUGGAUCACCUCCUUUCUA
rnacentral:rRNA from 1 species